UCUCCUCCUCCGCCGAGAUUCUUUCUCUUCCGGUUGUCGUCUGUUCGUGUGGCAGAUUAACCAGCGUCGAAAUGGCAAAGUCCAAGAAUCACACAACCCACAACCAGUCUCGUAAAUACCACAGGAAUGGCAUC